rnacentral:rRNA from 1 species
AGAACGAACGCUGGCGGCAUGCCUAAUACAUGCAAGUCGAACGAACACUUCGGUGUUAGUGGCGCACGGGUGCGUAACGCGUGGGAAUCUGCCCUUGGGUUCGGAAUAACAGUUGGAAACGACUGCUAAUACCGGAUGAUAUCGAAAGAUCAAAGAUUUAUCGCCCAGGGAUGAGCCCGCGUAGGAUUAGCUAGUUGGUGAGGUAAAGGCUCACCAAGGCGACGAUCCUUAGCUGGUCUGAGAGGAUGAUCAGCCACACGUGGGACUGAGACACGGCCCAGACUCCGUACGGGAGGCAGCGAGU